UACAGAGGGGGCAAGCGUUGUUCGGAAUUACUGGGCGUAAAGGGCGCGUAGGCGGCCCGCUAAGUCGAACGUGAAAUCCCCGAGCUCAACUCGGGAACUGCGUCCGAUACUGGUGGGCUUGAAUCCGGGAGAGGGAUGCGGAAUUCCAGGUGUAGCGGUGAAAUGCGUAGAUAUCUGGAGGAACACCGGUGGCGAAGGCGGGUCUCUGGGCCGAUACUGACGCUGAGGAGCGAAAGCGUGGGGAGCGAACAGG
rnacentral:rRNA from 1 species